UACGUAGGGUGCAAGCGUUGUCCGGAAUUAUUGGGCGUAAAGAGCUCGUAGGCGGUCUGUUGCGUCGGCUGUGAAAACCCGGGGCUCAACCCCGGGCCUGCAGCCGAUACGGGCAGACUAGAGUUCGGCAGAGGGGGGUGGAAUUCCGCGUGUAGCAGUGAAAUGCGUAGAGAUGCGGAGGAACACCGAUGGCGAAGGCAGCCCCCUGGGCCAAUACUGACGCUCAGGCACGAAAGCGUGGGGAUCAAACAGG
rnacentral:rRNA from 1 species